rnacentral:rRNA from 1 species
CUCGCUUCCGAGAGUGGCGGGCGAUUUGUGCAUGAAGUGUUUCCUUUUCAAAUCUUAAUAGCUAAUUAAAAUUUUAGUUCUAAAUCCUAUUCAAAGCCUCUCUUACUUUUAUCUAGAGAUUCAAAAUACAUUGAUUCAUUGUGUUGCGUUGUGACUUACUUAUAACUCUCAUCUUGAUCUGUUUUGUUACAUCUAAAGUUUAUUAAAAAAAAUCUUAUUUUCUGUUAAAAACGAUGAUAUAAGGAGUAAUAAACAAAGUUCAUUUUAUCGUGGUUUAUCUAUUAUCCUUCAAAACUCUCUAGGAGGACACUUCACCGCCAUUUUGUACAGGAUUUUUCUUAAUUUAGAUAAUCUCUUAUGUUUUAGUAAAA